rnacentral:rRNA from 1 species
GAUGAACGCUGGCGGCGUGCCUAAUACAUGCAAGUCGAGCGAACGGAUGAGAAGCUUGCUUCUCUGAUGUUAGCGGCGGACGGGUGAGUAACACGUGGAUAACCUACCUAUAAGACUGGGAUAACUUCGGGAAACCGGAGCUAAUACCGGAUAAUAUUUUGAACCGCAUGGUUCAAAAGUGAAAGACGGUCUUGCUGUCACUUAUAGAUGGAUCCGCGCUGCAUUAGCUAGUUGGUAAGGUAACGGCUUACCAAGGCAACGAUGCAUAGCCGACCUGAGAGGGUGAUCGGCCACACUGGAACUGAGACACGGUCCAGACUCCUACGGGAGGCAGCAGUAGGGAAUCUUCCGCAAUGGGCGAAAGCCUGACGGAGCAACGCCGCGUAAGUGAUGAAGGUCUUCGGAUCGUAAAACUCUGUUAUUAGGGAAGAACAUAUGUGUAAGUAACUGUGCACAUCUUGACGGUACCUAAUCAGAAAGCCACGGCUAACUACGUG